UCGCCUGUUUAUCAAAAACAUCUUUUCUUGUUAGUUUUUGAAGUAUGGCCUGCCCACUGACAAUAUUUGUUGAAGGGCCGCGGUAUUUUGACCGUGCAAAGGUAGCAUAAUCAUUAGUUCUUUAAUUGUGAUCUGGUAUGAAUGGCUUGACGAGACGUAAGCUGUCUUAAAGGCAUUAUUUUAUUGAAUUUAGUUUUUGAGUUAAAAUUCUUAAAUGUUUUUAUGGGACGAGAAGACCCUAUAGAGUUUGACAAUUUUAUUGUUUGUAUAAUUGUUUGUAUUUUGUUUUUUAAUAGUAAAAUUGUUUUGUUGGGGUGAUGAGAGGAACAUAUUUAACUCCUCUUUGUUUUUAUAUAUUUAUUUAUGUUUCUUUUGAUCCAUUUAUUUUGAUUGUAAGAUUAAAUUACCUUAGGGAUAACAGCGUAAA
rnacentral:rRNA from 1 species